GGCUCGGUAGCUUAGUUGGUAAAGCGCACGUCUAGCAUACAAGAGUCCUGGGUUCAAAUCCCAGCCGGGCAC
rfam:Aedes aegypti strain Liverpool supercont1.200 genomic scaffold, whole genome shotgun sequence.